rnacentral:misc_RNA from 1 species
GUGCACGCUCACCACAAUCCCAGAGCCCCCCAUGAGGGGCCGCCUUCCCACGCCUCACACGCGCACGCUCUCAUCAUCCCUACACUCCUUCUUAUUACUUUGCCGCCCAGUGCACGUGCGAGUCUUCUCCUUUGUCUUGUGGGACGUAGCGCCUCCUGCUGCCACCGCCACUUGUGUUGGAACGGUCAGGCGCAAGCCACCGCAUACUGUUGUGUUCUGGGUGCGGUGGCGGCGUGCCUUUUUCUUUGGGGGAAGGAGGGUGGGGGGGGGGGCAAAUUGUGCUGCCGCUGCUGUAGCCCCGCGCAGAGUGGCGUCGCAUCUCCUUUUGUCUUUCACUCUUCUAUUACUGGCCCGCUGAUCUUGCUUUGGUGUUCGUGUAUGUGCGUGUGUGUGUUUUGAGCGUGAGCGUGUGCAGUAAUCAGAGGGUUUUGCAACUGUGGCACUGUGGGUCGCCACCUUUCCUUCACGUUUUAUCUUUUUCAUUUGAGGGAUUCUAGCUGAAUUCGUGUGUUGGCCGCCCGAGCAAGCACUGAAACACACACACACACACAAAGAUGGCUUCAGGGGAGGCCCACGCGCUGUGCAUCGUGUUGUACGAGCCGCAGGCGGAGAAGCCCUUCGCGGAAUGGGUGGCGUCCGACGCGGUGCGGCAGGGAUUGAAGGAUGAAAUUGACGAGGUGGUCACCGCCGCCAUUCCGCAGCAAGCUGGUGACAUUGAUGGCGUUGCCAGUGCAGACACGGCAUCGCCGACACAGCACAUCCCCAUGGCGCUGAUAGCGAGCACGCUGGCGGCGCAACAGGAGGUCAAUGACGGUCGUCGCACAAGCCGUGCGGAGCAGCAGCAGCCGCUGCUACUGUGCCUCGUCGUCAUAGUUUUUUGGGACGGCCAAGCAGAGGCUAGCAAGACCGCCCUGGCGCAGCUGAAGCAGCUGGGCGAUAAGAAAUGGGUGGCAUCACACGUGCCACUUUGGGCAGAGCAUGUGGAAGUCCUGGUACAGGCCCUGAACGCGAAGCGGGGCACUGCAAGUAUCAUGAACAACAAGGUUGCUCUCGUCGCCAGUUUGCGCAAGAAGCUUCAGGCGUCCGCCAUGGCGGCGAAGGGGUGGUGGCGAGAGGGUGCGCUGCAGAGAGCCGGAAGGUACGCUGAUCCGAACGCUACUGCCGAGACCGUGUGGACGGCGUCGCCGGCGGCAUCUUCGAACGGUGGUAGUGACUCGUCAUCGCCUGUUGCCGCCGCAGUAGGGACGGCAGCUUCCCUGGGCGAGACCGACAUCUCCGUGGAUGCUGUCCGCCGCGCCGUCGACAGCGGUCAGGGCGAGACUUUUUUCCUCUUGAGCGACCGGGACCGGGCUGGACUGGCGAACAAGGUGGAGACGCUUAAGCAGAACUGUGAAGUGGCCGAGGUGGGGUGUGCGCCGGUAAUGAUGGAGCCGCGAGAGUUGCACCUGUUGCAGGGGGCGACGGGCACAUCUGGCGCCCUGAUGAGUGCCAACGCCGCGGGCAACAAGACGACCACUGGCGCACCUUCGCCGCCCGCCGCUGCUUCCUCGUCUCCGACCACAACGCUGGUGGCGCAGGAAUUCCUGCUUCGCCGUCGCUGCCCUCCGGCUGCACUCUUCGAGUUGCGCCUGGCCAUGUGCGGCAACGUGGACAGCGGUAAGAGCACUCUCACCUCCGUGCUAACCCGCGGCUGCUGUGACGAUGGCCGUGGGCUGGCGCGUGCUUUCGUCUUCAAGCACAAGCAGGAGGUCAUGACCGGCCGCACAUCCAGUGUCAGCGAGAACCACCUGGGCUUCUCUGCCGAAGGCGGGGUAGUGAACUACACGCUGUUGCAGCCGCACCGCACGGAGGCGGAGCUGCGACCUCUGGCGCCAUCGGAGGUGGCGCGGCACCUGAUGGCCUCGGCAGAAGCGGUCUCCGGCGCGACACACAGUGCAGCAGGCGGCAGUGGGGCCCACACAAUGCGCCAAUGCACACCGAAGGAGCUCGCCACACGCAGCUCCAAGGUGGUCACGCUGUACGAUCUGGCUGGGCACGAACGAUACCUGAAGACCACUGUGCUGGGCAUGACGCGCAACAUGCCCGACUACGCGUGCAUUGUCAUCAGCGCCAACAACGGCAUUCAGCGGAUGACGAAGGAACACCUGGCGUUAUGUCUGGCGCUGAAGCUGCCGUUCUUUAUUGUCGUCACUCGUAUCGAUGCAACCCCGUCGAACAUCCAUGAUGAGACGCUGUCGAACAUCCAAAAGCUGCUAAAGAUUCCGACCGUGCGCAAGCUUCCCUACCCGGUGCGGCGACAUGACGAGGUGACUUUGGCAGCCAAGAACCUGCGCUAUGACCGCAUUGCCCCGAUCUUCGAAGUCAGCAACGUUACCGGCGCUGGCAUCCCCGACCUGCUGCAAUUCCUUAACUUGCUCCCGACUCGGAAGGACUGGCGGCAGGCACGCGACAUGCCAAAGGAGAUGAUCAUUGACAGCACAUUCUUUGUCACCGGUGUCGGCACCGUCGUGGGGGGGAUCAUCACACAGGGCGUUUUCCGCGUGAACGAGACGGUGCUGCUGGGGCCUGACGGCUUUGGGAACUUCCGCCCUGUGGUCAUCAAGUCCAUUCACAUCAAAGGCGUCGACUCCAUCGCUGCCGAGGCCGGAAAAGACGCGGCACUGUGUCUCAAGAAGGAAAAACGCAGCUCCAUUCGCAAAGGCAACGUCCUGGUCGACGCCGCUCAUCCGCCCAAGUCGUUCUGGCAGUUCGAGGCCGAGAUCAUCAUUCUCUACCACUCAACGACGAUCACCGCCAACUACGAACCAGUCAUUCACUCCACAACCGUGCGGCAGUCGGCGCGCAUUACCUACGUUGCGCAGGAAGUGCUACGCACCGGUGACAAAUCUCUCGCGCGCUUCCACUUUCUCUACCGUCCCGAGUACAUGAAAGAAGGACAGCGACUAAUUUUCCGCGAAGGUCGCACUAAAGGUAUCGGCAUCGUUACGAAGCUGAUCUGUGAGCCAAAUGACCUUGUGUUGGCCAAGAACAAGCUGCGCAAGAAGAUGCGGGAGAAGCUGCAUGCCCCGGUAGGGGCGAAGUGAACCACUUCCGGUGCCGAGCAAGGGCGAACGGCAAACGACUAAAUAGGUGUUCGAGGAAUACGCCGCACGGAGAGACGUGCAUCAAACGUCCUAUACGCCACGUUUGGACGCGCGCUCCACGCUCACGUCGCGAGCACACGCAUGAUCCUCCGUACAUAUGUACGCCUGUGCGUGCAGCUCAUCACGGAUAGAAUACCUUUGAGAGAAAAACAGACAUACAAUUUGUUGUUCCUUAAAUGUUUCACUCGAGUUUUAGGAUGUCAAAGCAGGGACGCCUACACAACCACAGCUCGCCUAACUCUGCCGCAUUAGCGGCGACGUCCUGGUUCUCUAGGGGGCGCGCCGUGCGCCGUUGAACCGCAGCCACGCGUCUACCGGGCGCUCCCUGCACGUCAUUGCUUAUUCUUUGGGUACGUGCUGCGCGGUAGGCGUGCCUACACGGACAUGGCUGCACCGCACGCCUUGACGCAGGCGGGGCCGCGGCCAUGAGUCCUGUGGCAGCGGGUGCGUCGAGCGGAAGGGGCCCGCGGAUAGGCAUGCGCCUGCUCGCGAGGAGACCACGUAGCCUGCCGCUCCGAAGGGGCACCGGAGGGCAACCGCAGGCGCCCGACGGCGGAAGCCCGUGCAGCGCGAGCGAUCCGCGAAUCUCGCGUGGCAUAUCGGGCACAGCGCCGGGACGGACGCCCUCGGUAGGCAAAGCAGGGCGGGCGGAGGCUCUGGCGGGUGCGGGGUACCACAAUGCUAGCGGAGACGUGGGCAGCACACCAUCUGCGCUCCGUGUUGUCACUGCGGAUCACCCGCCGUUGCAGGAAUCCGAAGCACCAGCCGGGUGCCCAAUUCCUUUGCCCACCGCAAAACACAAAGAAAAGGAGGCAAGGAAAAGGCAGGCGGGUUUGCAGAAGCCCAAGUGGCUCUUCGUUAUCUCUGUGUUUGGGCAUGCCUGCUUACGUUGUGUGUGUUGUUUGGUAAUCGCGCGUUCCAGAGGAGCGAAGAAAAGGCAGAUGCCUCGUAGUUUUUUUUUUAAAGUGCCUUUGAUGUCUGUGUGUCUGGCGCGCGGGUUGG